rnacentral:rRNA from 1 species
AACAAACGCUGGCGGCGUGCCUAACACAUGCAAGUCGUACGAGAAAGUUGGCUUCGGCCGAUGAGUAAAGUGGCGCACGGGUGAGUAACGCGUGGAUAAUCUACCCUUUAGUCUGGAAUAACUUACCGAAAGGUGAACUAAUACCGGAUAAUAUGCCGAUUUCCCCGGAGAUCGGGAUCAAAGAAGGCUUCUGUUUACAUGCUUUUGCUGAAGGAUGAGUCCGCGUACCAUUAGCUAGUUGGUAGGGUAAUGGCCUACCAAGGUUAUGAUGGUUAGCUGGUCUGAGAGGAUGAUCAGCCACACUGGAACUGAGACACGGUCCAGACUCCUACGGGAGGCAGCAGUGAGGAAUAUUGCGCAAAUGGGGGCAACCCUGACGCAGCAACGCCGCGUGAGUGAGGAAGGUUUUCGGAUUGUAAAGCUCUGUCGAGCGGAAAGAAAUGCAUUAUGGCUAAUAUCCAUAAUGCUUGACGGUACCGCUAAAGGAAGCACGG